AGUGAACGCUGGCGGCGUGCUUAACACAUGCAAGUCGAACGGUAACAGAAGCAGCUUGCUGCUUGCUGACGAGUGGCGCACGGGUGAGUAAAAGAUAGAUAAUGUGCCCCUUAGUCUGGGAUAGCCACUGGAAACGGUGAUUAAUACUAGAUACUCCUUCUCAUCAUAAGAUGAGUCGGGAAAGUUUUUCGCUAAGGGAUCGGUCUAUCUCCCAUCAGUUAGUUGGUAAGGUAACGGCUUACCAAGGCAAUGACGGGUAGCGGGUUUGAGAGGAUGAUCCGCCACACUGGUACUGAGACACGGACCAG
rnacentral:rRNA from 1 species